rnacentral:lncRNA from 10 species
CGGCAACCCACUCAGGUCCCCUUCCACACUGUGGAAGCUUUGUUCUUUGCUCUUUGCAAUAAAUCUUGCUGCUGCUCAUGCUUUGGGUUUGCACUACUUUUAUGAGUUGUAACACUCACCGCGAAGGUCUGCAGCUUCACUCCUGAAGCCAGCGAGACCACGAACCCACAGGGAGGAAAAAACAACUCCGGACGCACCACCUUUAAGAGCUGUAACACUCACUGUGAAGGUCUGCAGCUUCACUCCUGAAGUCAGCAAGAUCAUGAACCAACCAGAAGGAAGAAACUCCAGACACAUCUGAACAUCUGAAGGAAGAAACUCCGGACACACCAUCUUUAAGAACUGUAACACUCACUGCACGGGUCUGCGGCUUCAUUCUUGAAGUCAGUGAGACCAAGAACCCACCGGAAGGAACCAAUUCUGGACACAUUUUGGCAACCACGAAGGGACCAUCGCCUAUUGCCAAGUGGAUCGAGGCCAUCAAGCUACAGAUGGUCUUACAAAUGGAACCCCAAAUGAGCUCAACUAACAACUUCUAUCGAGGACCCCUGGACCGACCUCCUGGCCCUUUCACUGACCUAAAGAGUUCCCCUCUGGAGGACACUACAAUUACAGGGCCUCUUCUUCACCCCUGUCCAGCAGGAAGUAGCUAGAGCAGUCACUGCCCAAUUCCCAAUAGCAGUUGGCGUGUCCUGUUUAGAGGGGGGAUUGAGACGUUAAGCCGGCUGAGCUUCUGCAUCAGGUGGGAACUUGGCGAACUUUUCUGUCUAGCUAAAGGAUUGUAAACGCUCCAAUCAGCACUCUGUGUCUAGCUAAAGUUUGUAAACGCACCAAUCAGCCCUCUGUAAAAACGCACCAGUCAGUGCUCUAUGCCUAGGUAAAGGUUUGUAAAUGCACCGAUCAGCACGCUGUAAAAACACACCAAUCAGCACUCUGUAAAAUGGAUCAAUCAGCAGGACAUUGGUGGGGUCAAAUUAGGGAAUAAAUGCUGGCCACCCAAGCCAGCAGCGGCAACCCACUUGGGUCCCCUUCCACACUGUGGAAGCUUUGUUCUUUCACUCUUUGCAAUAAAUCUUGCUGCUGCUCACACUUUGGGUCUGCACUACCUUUAUGAGCUCUAACACCUACCACAAAGGUCUGCAGCUUCACUCCUGAAGCCAGCGAGACCACGAACCCACCGGGAGGAACAAACAACUCUGGAUGCGCCACCUUUAAGAGCUAUAACACUCACUGCGAAGGUCUGCAGCUUCACUCCUGAAGUCUGCAAGAAACCCACCGGGAGGAAUGAACAACUCGGGAUGCGCCACCUUUAAGAGCUGUAACACUCACUGUGAAGGUCUGUGGCUUCACUCCUGAAGUCAGCAAGACCAUGAACCCACCAGAAUGAAGAAACUCCAGACACAUCUGAACAUCUGAAGGAACAAACUCCGGACAUACCAUCUUUAAGAACUGUAACACUCACUGCGAGGGUCCGCGGCUUCAUUCUUAAAGUCAGUGAGACCAAGAACCCAUCAGAAGGAACCAAUUCCGGACACAGUGAUACAUGCAAACCCAUAUCUAGAAUGUAUUGCUCCCCGUCAAGCUGACUUGCUGCAUCUUCCAAGGAGGAAGGGGCCCAAUGUAGUCAACUUGCCACCAAAUGGCUGGUUGGCCUCCUUGAGAUAUGAUGCUGUAUCAAGGGCAGCAUUUAUUUCUAUUGUUGAUGGGCUGGACAUUUGGCAGCACUAGCUAAUGCCCCUGUCCAAGCAGCCAGGCCCUCUGCGUCUAUCAUGAGCCCUCACAGAUGUUUACCUUAGGCCAUGUCACUUUCAACACAAAGGUAAUGACUAGUUGCACCUGCAAGAGUGCUACCCACUGGAGAAUUUCCCCUGCCUGCUACCGUGCAGGGACACCCCGAGUGAGCUGUAAUGCAGCAGCUGUCUGUUUUCCACUGCAUGAGUGACCUGCAAUCUAUGCUCGUUCUUUUUUCUUUUCCAUCAGGUGGUCAUAAAAGCCCUCUGUCCUAUAUUGACACAGAUAUUAGUUCAGAGAGGGAAUCCAAUGCAUCAGUGGUAGGUAUUAUGGAAGUCUAAGUCAUCUGCUCAUAUGGCUUACUUUUAAAAUUAAGGUCAUCUCCAAAAGAUGGCAUGGUUCCACCAGUAUGGUAUCACAGAUAUGGCAUAUGUCCAAAGUCAUCAAAUUGUAUACAUUAUACAUGUGCAGGAUUUUUUUGGGGGGUACAUCAACUAUACCUAAUUAAGAUUACAUCAAAAACUGGUAAGUGCUAUGAAAAAAUUAUAUGAAUCAGGAUAAUGAGAUAGGGAUUGACUGUUGGGUGAACAUGGAAGGCUACAAGGUGGCAUUCGAGAAGACCUGAAUGAGAUGAAACCAUGUCAGGUUAUGACAAUAGGGAAAAACAUUCUAGAUAGAGUGAUUGUGUCCCUGGGUCAAAUCAUACCUGAGGUCAGUGGCCAGUUUUAUUCUCUAUCUGCCACUAUCUUCCUUUAAAAAAAAAAUUGAUGCCAGGCAUGAUGGCUCAUGCCUAUAAUCCCAGCACUUUGGGAGGCCGAGGCAGGCGGAUCACCUGGAGGUCAGGAAUUUGAGACCAGUCUGGCAAACAUGGUGAAACCCUGUCUCUACUAAAAAUACAAAAAUUAGCUGGGUGUGGUGGUGCGCACCUGUAAUGUCAGCUACUCAGGAGGCUGAGGCAGAAGAAUCGCUUGAACCUGGGAGGUGGAGAUUGAUUGCAGUGAGCCGAGAUCACACCAUUGCACUCCAGCCUGGGUGAUAGAGUGAGACUCCUUCUAAAAAAAAAAAAAGAAAGAAAGAAAAAAAAAUACACACACACACACACACACACACACACACACACUCUCCCUCUCUCUCUCUCACACACACACAUAUCAGCUCAUUUAAAUUAAAAUUUGUGAUUUUGACCAAAUAAUUCUAUUGUAGACUGCAUGUUUGUGUUCCCUGCAAAUUCACAUAGUGAAACUCCAACCCUCUAGGGAUGGUGUUAGGAGGUGUAAAUGUUGGUAGGUGAUUGGGUUCAGAUGAGGUCAUGAGGGUGGGAGCUCUCAGGAUGGAAUUCAUGCCCUUGUAAGAAAAGAAAGAGACUAGAAUUUGUUCUCUCAGCCUUAUUAGGAUCCGAGGAGAAGACAGCCAUCCACGAACCAGGAACAGAACCCAACCAGACACCAGAUCUGCCAGCACCUUGAUGUUAAGCUUCCAGCCUCCAAAAAUAAAUGUGUGUUGUUUAUCCUAUGCAGUGUAUUUUUGAUACAGUAGCCCAAACUGACUAAAACAAAUCCUAAUAUAAAUCCUAGUAUUAAUACACUGUGUUGGGGUGGAGUUGGGAUGGUGAGCCUAUUUUCUGUGAAUAAUAAAAAAAAAGUUAAUAAUAAUAAUUGUAAGAUUUGCAGGGACCAUGUGGCAAUAAUUAGUUGGCUACCCAAAAGCACCUUCCAAUCCAACUGUCCCUUGCCCUCCUCCAACUAUAGAGGCUGGAAAAGUCUAGAUAUUGCUUUUUCCAACUUCCCCUUGUAAUGAAGAGUGGGCACAUGACCCAGUUGUGGACCAUGAGAUGCAAGGGGAAUGUUGCUGAAAGGAUUCUGAGAAAGUGAAUCCUCUCCCUAGCAGAAGGGAAAACACAAAUAAGUUCACUCCCCACUAGCUCCUCUUUCCCUUUGAAUGUGAUCUUGUUAUUCAGAGCUCGUCAAAUCAUGAGGGUCAAAGGAGAGAAUCAUGGAGAGGCUGAGCCAGAAUGCUGACACAGCCAUGCCAUAGAAAGAAUACCAGCAACUGCCUGCUUAUCAACUCCUUGUUGCCUGAGAAAAAUGGACUUCUCAUCAUUUAGGCCAUUGGUAUUUGGCUUUCCUUUUAUUUGCAAUUUGAAAGUAUUAUUUACUUAUACUGACUGCCGUAAUACAUUGAAUUCCUAAAACCCAGCAAGACCUAGAAUAGGAAUUGG